rnacentral:rRNA from 1 species
GUUUUGGGAUUCCUCUUGAUUACAGUUUCGGCUGUAGUUGAGACCCCUUAACGAUCAUGAAAUACCACUACUCUCAUCGUUUCUUUACUUACACGGUGAAAAGGAAAUUGGGAUAGUGUCUCUCUCUUCUGGACUUCGGUUCAGUAGCAGGAGGCCACCUAUCUCUAAAUUCUAGAGCAAAAUGUGGUUCCAUCCAUAUAUGCUUAAGACACCUAAUUGAAUCUUGUUCUUCGGGACUUGAUUUGAUUAAAGACUUGAGUUUGGUUGGUAGCAAAUGUGUAUCAGCAAUGAUACACAUAACUGCAUGAUCCUCGCCGUGGACAUUGUCAGGCGGGCAGUUUGACUGGGGCGGUACAUCUGUCAAAAGGUAACGCAGGUGUCCUAAGGCCAGCUCAGUGAGGCCAGAAACCUCACGUAGAGCAAAAGGGCAAAAGCUGGCUUGAUCCAGACUUUCAGUACGAAUACGGACCGCGAAAGCGGGGCCUAUCGAUCCUUUCGAUGAAUGAGAGUUUCAUCCGAGAGGUGUCAGAAAAGUUACCACAGGGAUAACUGGCUUGUGGCAGCCAAGCGUUCAUAGCGACGUUGCUUUUUGAUCCUUCGAUGUCG